rnacentral:rRNA from 1 species
AUUGAACGCUGGCGGCAGGCCUAACACAUGCAAGUCGAGCGAGCGGCGGACGGGUGAGUAAUGUAUGGGGAUCUGCCCGAUAGAGGGGGAUAACUACUGGAAACGGUAGCUAAUACCGCAUACUAUCGGAUGAACCCAUAUGGGAUUAGCUAGUUGGUGGGGUAAAGGCUCACCUAGCCGACGAUCUCUAGCUGGUCUGAGAGGAUGAUCAGCAACACUGGGACUGAGACACGGCCCAGACUCCUACGGGAGGCAGCAGGGGGGAAUAUUGCGCAAUGGGCGCAAUCCUGAUGCAGCCAUGCCGCGUGUAUGAAGAAGGCCUUAGGGUUGUAAAGUACUUUCGGCGGGGAGGCGUUACCCGCAGAAGAAGCACCGGCUAACUCCGUGCCAGCAGCCGCGGUAAUUC